UUUAUGGAGAGUUUGAUCCUGGCUCAGGACGAACGCUGGCGGCGUGCUUAACACAUGCAAGUCGAACGGAAAGGCCUAGCUUGCUAGGUACUCGAGUGGCGAACGGGUGAGUAACACGUGGGUGAUCUGCCUCGUACUUCGGGAUAAGCCUGGGAAACUGGGUCUAAUACUGGAUAGGACCAUGCUUUAGUGUGUGUGGUGGAAAGUUUUUUCGGUACGAGAUGAGCCCGCGGCCUAUCAGCUUGUUGGUGGGGUAAUGGCCUACCAAGGCGUCGACGGGUAGCCGGCCUGAGAGGGUGGACGGCCACAUUGGGACUGAGAUACGGCCCAGACUCCUACGGGAGGCAGCAGUGGGGAAUAUUGCACAAUGGGCGCAAGCCUGAUGCAGCGACGCCGCGUGGGGGAUGACGGCCUUCGGGUUGUAAACCUCUUUCGCUAGGGACGAAGCUUUUUGUGACGGUACCUAGAUAAGAAGCACCGGCUAACUACGUGCCAGCAGCCGCGGUAAUACGUAGGGUGCGAGCGUUGUCCGGAAUUAUUGGGCGUAAAGAGCUCGUAGGUGGUUUGUCGCGUCGUCUGUGAAAUUCCGGGGCUUAACUUCGGGCGUGCAGGCGAUACGGGCAUAACUUGAGUGCUGUAGGGGAGACUGGAAUUCCUGGUGUAGCGGUGGAAUGCGCAGAUAUCAGGAGGAACACCGAUGGCGAAGGCAGGUCUCUGGGCAGUAACUGACGCUGAGGAGCGAAAGCAUGGGGAGCGAACAGGAUUAGAUACCCUGGUAGUCCAUGCCGUAAACGGUGGGCGCUAGGUGUGAGGGUCUUCCACGACUUUCGUGCCGUAGCUAACGCAUUAAGCGCCCCGCCUGGGGAGGGCGGCCGCAAGGCUAAAACUCAAAGGAAUUGACGGGGGCCCGCACAAGCGGCGGAGCAUGUGGAUUAAUUCGAUGCAACGCGAAGAACCUUACCUGGGCUUGACAUAUGCAGGAUCGGCGUAGUGAUACGUUUUCCCUUGUGGUCUGUAUACAGGUGGUGCAUGGUUGUCGUCAGCUCGUGUCGUGAGAUGUUGGGUUAAGUCCCGCAACGAGCGCAACCCUUGUCUUAUGUUGCCAGCACGUGAUGGUGGGGACUCAUGAGAGACUGCCGGGGUUAACUCGGAGGAAGGUGGGGAUGACGUCAAAUCAUCAUGCCCCUUAUGUCCAGGGCUUCACACAUGCUACAAUGGUCGGUACAACGCGCUGCGAGCCUGUGAGGGUGAGCGAAUCGCUGAAAGCCGGCCUCAGUUCGGAUUGGGGUCUGCAACUCGACCCCAUGAAGUCGGAGUCGCUAGUAAUCGCAGAUCAGCAACGCUGCGGUGAAUACGUUCCCGGGCCUUGUACACACCGCCCGUCACGUCAUGAAAGUUGGUAACACCCGAAGCCAGUGGCCUAACCCUUGUGGGGGGAGCUGUCGAAGGUGGGAUCGGCGAUUGGGACGAAGUCGUAACAAGGUAGCCGUACCGGAAGGUGCGGCUGGAUCACCUCCUUU
rnacentral:rRNA from 1 species